AGCUGACACUCUGUCACCAAGUCUUAUUUUUAUACCAGUUAAAUCAGUUAACAACAUAUAUUGAAUGUGUACAAAGCCUCAUGUUAGAGUCUGUGGGGAGUUAUACACUGAGCAAAAAGAAGAUGAGAUCAUCCAUUUGUCUUUUAUUGCAUUUGAAAAUUCCUACUCUUCGGUAACCAUUCAUUACUAGAGCAGCAUCCUCAGCAUCCAUGCCACGAGUCCAGAUUCAGCCUGGGAAGAUGAUACCCUAUGAAGAGGACCCUUUUGUCUCCCCAGAGCUGUCUCUAGGUCUGAGAUGGGAGGAGCUCGGGGCCUCUUUGGGAGCUGGCGUUCAUUCUGCUUAUAUAUCCCAGGCUGCCAAGAUGCAAGAUGGGAGCAGAAGUUCUCUGGCCUUACUCGGAUUUAGGAAGAUGACCUAGAGAGCUGGUGCCCCAGAAGCCCCACACUGAUGCUCACAAUUCUGCACCACGGUGAGCAAGGCACCAGCAAGUGCAAGCUCUGGCCCCUGGCUGCUCCAGCCCCUCCUUUUGAGAGUUACAUUUCUACUUCUGCUUCCACAGACUUUUCUCGGCCAUCAUGAUGCUCUAGCCCUUCUUUCCUUCCUUUUUCCAUGGAAACAAAUACUGGACUCCUCCUUUUUCUAACAUUUUCACCUGUUUUGAAUCAUCUCUUCUUUCUUUGCCCCACCCUCUAUCUUCAAAUUAAGUCUUUUGAAUGAAGACAAUUCUCAACUAGAAAUAUUGAAUUCGCAGCUCCAGGUGGUUUUAAAUUUCUAAAUAGCAUCUGGCUAGCCUGGCAGAGGUGAGAACCAGUGGGCCUUCUGGAAAAAAAUUCUGACUUCUAUCAAGCACACAGGCUACACCAGGGGUCCUUAAACUCCAGUAUGCACAGGAAUAGCAUUGCCAGAUUUAACUGGCCACCCUGUGUUCUAUCUGGCAACCAUGUUUAGGAAUCAACUGACAAGCUUAGUAUCUUUCAGAGUCCUCAUAUCCACCACUACAUAUUCUGACUUAGUAAGUCUGAGGUAAAACCAAGGGUCUAUAUGUCAAAACAUUAUAGAUGUGGUGGUUUAAAAAUAUUUCCAGUUUUCCUCAGCUGCUGCCAAGCUGCACUCGGUCCCUCUGAGGAAUGUAGGGCCACACUGAAGUGGGACCCUCACUUCAUCUGGCAACUAGCACCUUGCCUGGCAGUGCCAGCCCCACACUUGCUCGCACUAUGGCCUCUGUUUCUGAGCUCGCCUGCAUUCUGCAUAAGGCUCGGCCCUCAUUCUGCAUGAGGGUGAGGUGACCGUCAAGGAGGAUAAGAUCAAUGCCCUCAUUAAAGUAGCUGGUGUAAAUGUUGAACCUUUUUGGACUGGCUUGUUUGCAAAAGCCUUGGCCAAUGUUGACAUGGGGAGCCUCAUCUGCAAUGGAGGAGCUCGUGGACCUGCACCAGCAGAAGGUUCUGCCCCCUCCACCAAUGCUGUUCCAGCUGAGGAGAAGAAAUAGAAGCAAAGAAAAGAGAGUCUGAGGAGUCCAAGGAGGAUAUGGGCUUUGUUCUUUUUGACUAAACCUCUUUUGUAACAAGUUCAAUAAAAACCUGAACUCUUAAAAAAAAUUCUUUGAAAACUCUCUCUUCAAAAGGUGGAGACUAUGUUUCUCCUUGAGUGUCACUCACUCUGGCAGAAGCCAGCAGAGCAAGCAGAUAGAUGAGGACAUUCAGCAAUAAUAUGGAGCGGUCCAUGUGUGGAGAAGCUGAGGCCACUCGCCCCCGGCCUUGUAUGUAAGCCACCUUUCAGCUCUGGUUGAGUCUUGAGAUGACUGGAGCUCUAGUGGACAGCUUGACUGCAAUCUCAUGAGCGGUCCUGAGCAGGGACCACCCAGCUGUGCUGCUGCCAAAUUCCUGACCCAAGAAUCCAUGUGAUAUGAUAAAUGUUUGUUGUUGUUUUAUGCUGCUAAUUCAUUAUGCAGCAAUAGAUAAUGAAUACAACAGGUGAUUUUGAUGCAGGUGCUCUGAACACAUUUUGUGAAAUGGACUUAGC
rnacentral:lncRNA from 1 species